rnacentral:rRNA from 1 species
CGUGGUUGAUCCUUCUAGUAGUCAUAUGCUUGUCUCAAUGAUUGAGCCAUGCAUGUCUAAGUAUGAACUAAUUUAGACUUUGAAACUGUGGAUGGCUCAUUAAACCAGUUAUGGAUUUUUUAUGGUACCAUACUACUCAGAUAACUAUAGUAAUUCUAGAGCUAAUAUGUGCACCAAAUCCUGACUCUUUGGAAGGGAUGUAGUUUUUAGAUAAAAGGUCAGCACGUGCUUACCUGCUUCUGUGGUGAAUCAUGAUAACUCAAUGGAUUGGACAACCCUUGUGUUGGCGAUGCUUCAUUCAAAUUUCUACUCUAUCAACUUUCGAUGGUAGGUUAGAGGCAUAUGAUGGUGGUGAUGGGUGAUAGAGAAUUAUGGUUUUGUUUUGGAGAGGGAUCCUAAGAAACGACUACCACAUCCAAGGAAGGCAACAUGCACACAAAUUACCUGAUCCUGACAUGGUGAGGUAGUGACAAUAAAUAACAAUACUGGGCUCAUUGAGUCUGGUAAUUGGAAUGAGUACAAUCUAAAUCCCUUAACAAGGAUCCAUUCGAGGGUAAGUCUGGUGUCAACAGCUACAUAAUUCUAGCUCCAAUAGUGUAUAUUUAAGUUGUUGCAGUUAAAAAGCUCGUAGUUGGAUCUUGGGUCAUAAAGGUCAGUCCACCUACUCGAUGUGCACCUGCCCUUCCAUUCCUUUUGUCGGCAGUGUGCUCUUGGCCUUAAUUGGUUGGGUAAUGGCUCUAGCGUUAUUACUUUCAAAAAGUUAGAGUUCUCAAAAUCGCUUAUGCUCUAAAUACAUUAGCAUGGAAUAACGUGAUAGGAGACUAGUCAUAAUAUUGUGUUGGCCUUUGGGACCAAAGUAAUGAUUAAUAGGGGUUGUCAGGGGCAUCCAUAUUUCAUUAUCAGAGGUGAAAUUCUUGGAUUUAUGAAAGCCAGACCACCGUGAAAGCAUUUUGCAAGGAUGUUUUCAUUAAUCAAGAACGAAAUUUGGGGUCUCAAAGACGAUCAGAUACUGUCCUAGUCUCAACCAUAAAUGAUGCCAACUAGGGAUCGACAAAUGUUGAUAUAAGGACUCUGCCAACACUUUAUGAGAAAUCGGAGUGUUUGGGUUCCAUGGGGAGUAUGUUCGUCGGGAUGAAACUUAAAGGAAUUGAUGGAAGGGCACUACCAAGAGUAGAACUUGCGGCUUAAUUUGACUCAACACGGGGAAACUUACCAGGUUUAGACAUAGUACGGAUUGACAGAUUGAGAGAUCUUUAUUGAUUCUAUGGGUGGUGGUGCAUGACCAUUCUUAGUUGGUGGAGCGAUUUGUGUGGUUAAUUCCAAUAGUGAAUGAGACCUUAGCCCGCUAACUAGCUAUGUGGAGGUUCCCCUUCAAAUCCAACUUCUUAGAGGGACUAUGGCCAUUUAGGCCAUUGAAGUUUGAGGCAAUAAUAGGUCUAUGAUACCCUUAGAUGUUUUGGGCCACAUAUGCACUACACUGAUGUAGAAAAACGAGUUUUUCUUCCUGGUUCAAGAGGAUCGGUAAAUCUUCUCAAAUUUCAUCACGAUGGGGAUAGAUCAUUGCAAUUAUUGGUCUUCAACGAGGAAUUCCUACCAAGCGUGUGUCAUCAACUCAUGUUGAGUAUGUUCCUGCCCUUUGUACUCACCGCCCAUCACUCCUACUGAUUGAAUGAUAUAGUGAAGUUCUCGGAUUGUAUCGACCAUGAUGAUUCAUUGUCAUCGACAUCAUGAGAAUUUCAUUGAACCUUAUCAUUUAGAGGAAGGAGAAGUCAUAACAAGGUUACUAUAGGUGAACCUAUGGUAU